rnacentral:rRNA from 1 species
UACGGGGGGAGCAAGCGUUGUUCGGAUUUACUGGGCGUAAAGGGCGCGUAGGCGGCCAGCACAAGUCAGUUGUGAAAUCUCCGGGCUUAACUCGGAAAGGUCAACUGAUACUGUGCGGCUAGAGUGCAGAAGGGGCAACUGGAAUUCUCGGUGUAGCGGUGAAAUGCGUAGAUAUCGAGAGGAAUACCGGUGGCGAAGGCGGCAUCCUGGACCGGCAUUGACGCUGAGGAGCGAAAGCCAGGGGAGCAAACGGG